rnacentral:rRNA from 1 species
AUUGACCGCUGGCGGCAGGCCUAACCCAUGCAAGUCGAGCGGAGCCGCGGACGGGUGAGUAAUGCCUAGGAAUCUGCCUGGUAGUGGUGGAUAACGUCCGGAAACGGACGCUAAUACCGCAUACUAUCAGAUGAGCCUAGGUCGGAUUAGCGAGUUGGUGGGGUAAAGGCCUACAAAGGCGACGAUCCGUAACUGGUUUGAGAGGCUGAUCAGUCACACUGGAAAUGAGACACGGUCCAGACGCCUACGGGAGGCAGCAGUGGGGAAUAUUGGACAAUGGGCGAAAGCGUGAUCCAGCCAUACCGCGUGUGUGAAGAAGGUCUUCGGGUUGUAAAGCACUGUGAGUAGGGAGGCGUUCCAGACAGAAUCAGCACCGGGUAACCUCGUGCCAGCAGCCGCGGUAAUAC